rnacentral:rRNA from 1 species
AACGAACGCUGGCGGCAUGCCUAACACAUGCAAGUCGAACGAGAUCUUCGGGUCUAGUGGCGCACGGGUGCGUAACGCGUGGGAAUCUGCCCUUUGGUUCGGAAUAACAGUUGGAAACGACUGCUAAUACCGGAUGAUGACGAAAGUCCAAAGAUCUAUCGCCAGAGGAUGAGCCCGCGUAGGAUUAGCUAGUUGGUGUGGUAAUGGCGCACCAAGGCGACGAUCAUUAGCUGGUCGUAGAGGAUGAUCAGCCACACUGGGACUGAGACACGGCACGGAGUCCUUCGGUAGGCAGCAGUGGGGAAUAUUGGACAAUGGUCGAAAGCCUGAUCCAGCAAUGCCGCGUGAGUGAUGAAGGCCUUAGGGUUGUAAAGCUCUUUUACCCGGGAUGAUAAUGACAGUACCGGGAGAAUAAGCUCCGGCUAACUCCGUGCCAGCCGCCGCCGUAA